GUAGGUGGCAAGCAUUGUCCGGAAUUAUUGGGCGUAAGCGCGCGCAGGCGGUUCGUUUAAGUCUGAUGUGAAAGCCCACGGGCUCAACCGUGGAGGGUCAUUGGAAACUGGGGAACUUGAGUACAGAAGAGGAAAGCGGAAUUCCACGUGUAGCGGUGAAAUGCGUAGAGAUGUGGAGGAACACCAGUGGCGAAGGCGGCUUUCUGGUCUGUAACUGACGCUGAGGCGCGAAAGCGUGGGGAGCAAACAGGAUUAGAUACCCUGGUAGUCCACGCCGUAAACGAUGAGUGCUAAGUGUUAGGGGGGUUUCCGCCCCUUAGUGCUGCAGCUAACGCAUUAAGCACUCCGCCUGGGGAGUACGGCCGCAAAGGCUG
rnacentral:rRNA from 1 species